UGGUCCUCCUCUGGACUCUUUCUAAUACUUCCAUAUCCUUCUUGUGCUGGGGGCCCCGGAGCUGAAUGCAGGGCUCCAGUCAGGGUCUCACAAGAGCAGAAGGAGGGGGACAAUCCCCUCCCUCGACAUGCCAUUGGAUUGACCCAUGAAGGAUCUGGACAAGCUGCAGCCCUGGCACAAGGUGAUGUGGGGGAUAUCUGCCUCUUUUGUGGCAGCAAGAUGUUAAAUCGGUUCAAACUUGUUUGUGUUGAUGUCACCAUGAUAACAUAAAUGGAUUGUAAUUAAUUCAGAAUUCACUUACGAAGGCUGAAGUGCUUUGAAUCUUGCUAUGGAUUGAGAAUGAGUUCUUACAGAGAAGCAGUUUAUUCUGUGGAUAUUUUCAGCUCUUUGACUUCCCAGGACAUUGAUCUUUCAUGUGCAGCAAGCACAGGUUCUUCAGGUGAUUCUUCUAACCUCACUGGCACAGAAUGGGAUGCUGAUGUGGAAAACAGAGAAUGGAGGAGGGCUAAAGAUGUACACAUGGAAAUCCUCUGUUUUUAGAGCAUAGCUGGGACCAAAAUAUGUGCCUUUCUGGACUGAGAAAUCAAUAAACUGCAACCUAGUUAUGUUACAACUGUUUCAGGAUGAGAUUUCCUUAUAGCUGCACGGGAGUGCUCCAAAGGCUGUUGGUAUUCUAGUUUUUGCAUGUUACAGGAGUGAAGGAUAAGAUUAUUUAUUUAUUUAUUUAUUUAUUUUAAUAUGCUUAUCUACACAGACUUGUAUUGUACUGCCUUUUAAAUAGCCCUCUCUACUGAUGGUGAGUCAUAGCUACCCAAUACAUAUUCUUUGAAUUUUACAAGUAGUCAUGUUGCUGUGAUUAUCACUGUUAUAUGUGCUUUGGCAAUUUUGUCUGUUCCUAGCUGUUUAUUCUUUCUGAUCUUCUGUUGCAGCUGGAAGAGAUUUGGUGUAUGUAGUCAGAGGCAGGGAACCAUUUCAGUUCUGUUGAUGAACAAGACACAGUGGCUUUAAAUUUUAAAAACAAGUUAAAAAUAGGCACCACUGUUCUGGACAUUUUUGUUUGUUGUGUGAUUACAUCGUAAUGCAAAGUAUGAAGCUUAUUUUUUUAAUAGUUUCCUGUUCUGAAUUUCAUCUCAGAAAUAAGAGGCUAAUAAUUCCCAGUGGGAUCUUUUGUGGUCAGACAUAAGACAUAAUAUUUGCUCCAGAAGUUUGCAAUGUCUGUUUCAAUUUUUGUCCUAUUCCAGAUUAUUCUGUGAUUGGAGAUAUUACCUUAUUUUGUUUCCUUUUAGGACCUCGUUGUUCAGGAAAAAAAAAAUAAAAAUAGACUAUGUGGCUGCAGAUAACACCAUUUCUCCUGGUUAGUUUGAAGCAGGGUGCUUCUUUUAGCCUUCACUGAAUCUGACGUACAGUGUUUUUCUGACUUGCCUGAGGUCGCUGUAUUAGACAGGAAGGUCUCUGGUUUCCCAGCCCUGUAUCCUGACCACAAGACUACAGUAACUCCCCUCAACCCAAAGCCUGUAGUAUUCCUUAAGUCUACACUUGACUUUCAGAUGAUGAUCUAGCUACUUGGUCUUUGCAAGUGCUGGUACUGCAAAAACAAGUUGUUUUGAUGGAGGUAGUUGUACACUGUGUGCAUGCAGAAAAAAAUGCUAUCAGGGAAAGUUCCACUUCCACGAUCAUGAUUUCUGCUGUCAGCAAAAAGUAGGGAGUUUUUUUUGUUUUGUUUUGUUUUGUUUUGUUUUGUUUUUCCCUUUCUCUGCAUAUUUCAAGUGAUGUCUUUCUUUGAAAAAUAUCCCAGUGGCUCAAAUAAGCUUCUCCUCCAAACAGACAUCUAAAUACUUCACUGACGUUCAGUGCUGCAUACAAAUUGGUAGCGUAGGCCUGAAUCUCAACAGUCUUAUUCUCCGGUCACUUCAAAAAGAAACUGUGCUGGUGUGAAAUGGGAAUAAUACACAAGAAAAUCAGACUUCUGGACUUUCUGUGAUCACUAUGUGAAGGACAAAUUGAACUACACACAACCUCCUGAUAAAAAAAGCAAUUGAGAGGGCAAUAAAAAGAUAUACAGCUGCAGAAAAAAUAGGAGGAAAGGCCAGAGUUCAGAUUGGAGACAGAAGUUGAAGAAAGGCAAGACAAGAAAUAAACAACUCUUUAAAAUAACUCUUGUGAAAGUCCUGCAGUGUAAGGGGAAAAAUGUUUUCUCCUGCCCUGACCUCUAAAUAGAAGUCAUUGGUUCUCUGAGACUCGAUGUGAAAAGGAAGCGCUAACAUCUGUUUCUGUGUGUUCAAUCAGUGAUUUUGAUAUUGUCUGAAGAAAAAAAAAAUCUCAUAAAGAAUUCAGUCACGUUAGCUGGCUACCCCUCAGUAAAAGGAAGGCCACCUUCUGCUGAACAUUUUUGUGCUGAGAAUGCAUCACUCGAGCAGAGCUUGAAACAAGCACUAAUUUAAAUUGACUGAAUGAAGGUCUGGCACUGCUGUGGUUCACUUAAAAUCACCAUCUGCCUUUCAACCAUCAAAUAUGAGGUCAAUGAAAUUGGUGGCUCUGAGGACACCUGCCAUGUCUACUGUUAUUUUGUCUUUGCAUGUGAAUGGUGGGCGUGAGAGGGCAGGUCCCAUUCAUGUCUAUUGUUUAUUUGUGUUUAUUUCCUUUGCCGAAUAUUGUUAUCCUUGGAAAAGAUCUCACUAUGUAUGAGGUGCAAGCCAAGAAUGCUCCCUGCACCUUUGUGGAAGGACGAAGUACAAGGAUGCACAGCAAUUGGUGUGGGGGGAUCAGUUGAAUGUGUUGUGCGGAUACUACUGGCAACACAGCAUUUAGCUCUGUGAAAGCAUUUAGUGUAAUGCCAUUUAACUUGGGUUAUUUCCUUUAAGCAAUUUGAUAGUUAAGCUGAUAUAGACUUUAGUUUUUGUUACUGAAAGACUACUAAAACAAACCCAUUGAUGAAAACCUACAGGGUCUUUCUUGGAUGCUAAGAAGGAGAUCGUAAGUUUGGCUGCAUUCUGCAUCCAAACCUGUAAAUAUGGUCAGCUGAAUAAGUUUACAAUAGUUUUCUGUACAAGUAUCUGAUAUUUCAUAGAUGGUGUUAUUUGUGUUACAUAAGCAUCUGCAGCCUCAGAUCACAGAAUCACAGAAUUGUAAGGGUUGGAAGGGACCUCAAGAGAUCAUCAGGUCCAACCCCCCUGCCAAAGCAGGUUCCCUAGAGCAGGCUGCCCAGGGAGGCAUCCAGACGGGAUUUGAAUAUCUCCAGAGAAGGAGACUCCACAACCUGCCUAGGCAGACUGUUCCAGUGCUCCAUCGCCCUCACCGUGAAGAAGUCCUUUUGCGUGUUUGUGUGGAAGUUCCUGUGCUCCAUCUUGUGGCCAUUACCCCUUGUCCUGUCCCCACAAGCCACUGAAAAGAGGUUGGCCAAAUCCCCCUGUCUCCCACACUUAAGAUGUUUGUAAACUGAUAAGAUUCUCUCUCAGUCUUCUUUUCUUGAGGCUGAAGACAGCCUUUCCUCAUAGGGAAGAUGUUACAUGUCCCGUAUCACCUUUGUGUCCCUCCGCGGGGCUCUUUCCAGGUGAUCCCUGUCUUUUUUGUACUGUGCUCAGAACUGGACACAGUACUCCAAGUGAGGCCUGACCAGGGCAGAGUAGAGGGGGAGGAUCACCUCUCUUGACCUGCUGGCCAUGCUCCUUUUAAUGCACACCACGCUCCUUUUAACGCACAUUGGCCCUGUUGGCCACCAGGGCACACUGCUGGGACUGGUGCUAUGCCUACACAGGGGUGCCUGUGAAAUAUGGCACCAUAUCCAUCCCUGUAGAACACGUACUGGAUUAAAGGGUUUAUACCUUAGUAUUUUACCAGAAGGUGUAAUCAUUCCUUCCUCACAUGAAGAGCUUAAAUAAAGAUGGCCUGACUUACUAUUGCAUUUCAUUUAGUCCUUGGAGAAAUUGUGUUCUCUGCUCCAAACCCACAGGGUGACUCCCUCAGACUGUGCUGCACAGGGGGUUAUAAAAAGAAAGGUUGCCAAUAGCAACUUGUUCUUCUGCUGGAACAAGCCAAAGUUAUUUGAAAAGACAGCAUAGAAAUAGGGAAGCUGGGGAGAAUGAAUGGAAAGCCUUUGUGUUGUUGUUUUGAAAAUACAAAUGAAACAGCCUUAUUUUGCAGUGCUUUUGAUAGGAAAAUGAAAAUGAACAAGCCCUCCUACAGAAGGUUUCAUGGGAUUGCAUCCUGGCUAGCACCAAACCUUGGACACUAGCCUUCCUCGCAAUGGCCAGGUCAUCAGUCCUUCUUAUGCUCUUGGCCACCUAUCGCCCUGAAUCUCACAGUCAAAGACCACCGUUGGUUGGUACAAAGCCUCUACAGGAUAUAGUGAUGUGGUGGUAUGGGGGUUGCAAUGUCUGUAGGGCUGGUGUCCUAGCAGAUGAUGGGAACUGUAUGAGUAUCUUGUUUGUUUGUGUGCAACUACUUUUAAGUCUUUUUAGAGAUGGUUUGCGGGGAAGAAGCUACAUGAGGGAAAAUGCGGGUGAGAUCCAUGGAAACCAAAGGUAAAAGAGAAUAACAGCGUUCCUGAGAAGUUUCAUGUGUAAGUAAUGGGUCUUGGAAUAACUUAUUCAUGUUCCUAACCCUGAUGGAAGAGAAAAUGGUGACAACACAAUCUUUAAAAACGCUGGUAAGAAAGAUAUAAUUAAUACUUCCUUAUUUUCCUGUACUUUUCAUGCUGAGCCACCAGAUGGCGACCACAGACUGCCUACAGAUCUGAACCUGUUCACCUCCUGUUUAUUUAACUUCUGUGACCUGAGAUGGUAGCCUGACAGGACUGCUUUGCUUUCAAAGCAAGCAAAAAGAAAUACACCUAUAAAAUGAACGUUGCAGGUUUGGUUCUGCUUUACACUGAUACUUUCUUCAUAUCAGUGCAGCUACAGCAUUUACAACUUGGGAACGUGAGGAAUCAGGCCUGCUGAAGCUGUAUGUGUGCAAAGAUGUGCCUACGUAAUGCAUUUAAAGCCAGAGCAGUAUUUGUUUGUAGAGGCUGUAGUUAUGUUCUUCUCAUACCUUACAGCAUCUGGUGUGACCAGCUAUACUGAAGCAUUAAAUCUCAUGCAUUCAAUGUCAGAACCUCUUUCUUUCAACCCCAUUCAUUCUUCAUUUAGUCUUUCCUAUCCCUUCUUUCCUCCUCCAUCACUCCUGCUGAUGCUUGGAGCAUGCUUUCCAUACGGAACCUUCUAGGAUACCAGCUCCUUGUCACAGCCCAGCCAUUCACCCCUGUACAUUAAUGUUUAAAAAAGCCUCUGUUCUUCCACUCUUUCAUCAUCAAUAGAAUGAAAGUUGAAAUCUGUCCUACACACAUUGAAAGCAAAUGCUCAAAAUCUUUUUUUUUUUUUUAAGGAGGUGAUUUGCAGGCAUCUCCAGGCUAAGCAGGGGCAUGCCGCGGAUCACAGGGCUUAUCGGCGCAGAACGUGAGACAGCCCAGGUAUGCGAGUCACCAUGUGAUGUGGAGGAGCAAAGGGAGGGUUUCCUCCUUGAUGCAGAACUAUUUCCCUACAGUGAGCAAUGUUGGUGCUACUGCAGGGAUCGCAUGAAAACGUCUCUGCCCUUACAUCCCUAUCAGCUAACAAUACUUCUGUCAUCAUAUCAUUAUGGAUCUUUGCAGAAGGACAGUUAACCCCUUUGCACUUCUUCAAAAGCAGCCAGAAAUCAUUUCUACUAAUGCUCACUGAAGUGCAACUGCUUUACUCCUGUAUCUUAAAACAACAUUUUAAAAUUCCUAUAGUUAAUAGUGUCUUCUGAAGAAAACUCCCAUUACUGAAGCUUUGCAAAGGCAUUUGCCCUUUAUUUCCACUUUGGAGCACCCACCCCCAGAGUAAGUUUUUUCCUCUGGAUGUACCACCUUACAGCUAAUGAAGACCUUGGGUAUUCCAGGACAGGAAAGUCUAAAAUCCCAGUUAAUGAGCUGCACCCAUCCAAGAGGAUCCAUGCAGGGAGAGGAAGAACGAGAGAACAUCCAAAGAAGUGACAUACAUGAAUGAUCCAGCAACUAAGGAUAAUGUGAUAAUGGCAAUGCCAUUGUGGAUUGCAUUUCUGUCACAUCUGUCCACUGCUCAUGGUCCUUCUUCAUAUCAGAGAGAACAGGGAAGAUGUGUUUCCAGUUAGGCCAAUAACGCUCUGUCAGGAAGCCCUGUUCCCUGAACUUUCCAGUUGAUACACAUCCUUUCUGGAUUGCCAUGUGGAAAAUUAAGAGACUUUACAUACCAGACAUGUAAAGAGGUAUCCUGGAAGAGACACAGCCGGUAGACUAUAGUCUUUAGUCUGACAGAAUGGAAUGCUUCUAGACUCAUGCCUAUGGAAAACUGAAGUGCAGGCAGAGGUGAAGCUGUGCUUAAUCAGUCAAACUGACUGUCAUUGAACUUCAUCAAAAUCUGACACCCCAGAUAAGGUUGUCAGUCACUUGCAGAUGAUGUAUCCAUUACAUUAUGAAUUCAGUAUAUCUGGAGUCGGGUUCUGCUGCACCACACCCUUGUGAAGCUGAGACUUCUGUGCUUUAGCAGACAUUAACUAAAGUAUGAAGUAGCUGUCAUUUUCCUUUGAACAAGCUGUUAGCAUCAAUCAGUUGGAUCAUUGUGCUUGAGUAUGGUUGACUGAGGUAGCUAUUCUAACAGACAGAUAUCCUGUGUGAUUGGUAAUACACCAAUUUUAUCGUUGGUUCCCUUAAAUUGCAUUUGAUGUUUUGGAUGAAAUAAAACACCUAUACUGAGCUCAACAGUGCAGGAUUUUGCUGGAAAGUAAAAGCUUUCUCUGAUGCUUCGUAGAAACAGCUGGCAUUUGUCUGUAAGUUUGAAAAAGAAAGGAUUUUUUAAUAUGAUAUUGUGCUUAAGAAAUAUCAUUCUGUGGAAAAAAAUAUUGACAACGCAGAGGAUUUAGAGCUGCAUUUAUUAACUUUUCUACAUGAGUCUACUCUGUAAACAAUUAAGUACAUAAGAUUAAAAGGCUAAGGCAAACUUUACUAAAUCAUUGCCUUUCAUGUAAAAUAGCUAUAAAAGACAGUUAAGCACAUAUUUCACCCAAAACAGAAGAAGACAUAAUGACAUUCAGUAGUUAGAAUAACCUUUUGAAGGGUAUUUGCAGUAGGUGAUAUAAACUGAGGUGGAGAAAGGAACAAACUUGGAAGAAAGAAUCAAUCCAGAUUUAAAAGUGUGAAGAAUGGAUUAGAAGAUUUCUGGAAAAAUGUUUGCUGUAAACCAGGAAACUGCCUUCAUCUGUUUUCAUCCUUCUUGUGUUCAAGAGGGUUCAGAUGCUUAUAAUACAGGAGCAGCAUCGAAUGCAUACUGUCAUCUAGCUUUUUCACAAGUUCUCAUUCUGCCUUAUUUAUCUUCAAUUUAUCUUCUCUUUCUGGUCAGGAAGAUAACCCCAAUGCUAGAAACAAAGUGUGUUGUCACAAAGAUAUAUUACGAGUUAGGACUCACCUAUUGUAAUCCGGAAGAAAUAGUGGAUAUGCGUUCAGACAAUACAAAGAUCAUUUUAUCUUUGUUACUAUAGAAAGAAGAAAAAAAAUGAUUUCCCUUUGAACACUGUUGUUUGAACAAUGACUGCAAAAUGUCUAGGCAAGCUGAAAAGCACAGUUACAAAAUUCUACUCUGUAAUAAUAAAAAAGCUUAAACAGAGGGCCAUUUGGCCAGAGGUCAGGAUGUCCCAGCUUACAUGAACAGCUAUGAGGAUAUCUUAGUUUCUUACUUCAGCAUUGUAGCACGAAUAAAUGGCUAGGUGUGAAAGCGUAUCUUAAUGGCCAAGCUCAGACAACCAAGUCUAAUAAAACAGAAGAAUUUACUCUCAGAAAACAGAUUGUCCUAGAAAUGAUGCAAGUCCUGGACAUGCAGUGGAAACUCAACUAGCCAAAGUGUGAUGCCAAAAGCUAAAUAUUGAGGAAAAGAGUCAGCUGUCUCUGAGCUGAUGGAUGUCCUGUGGAGGCCUACAGCCAUACCAAGGACUGUAAAGAUAAAUUAGCAAAACAAUUUUUGAAUAUUUUCCUGGACUUGAACUUAAAUUAUAACAGCCUAAAGAACACCAAGGAUGUGAGCCAACAAUUUGCCCUUGUCUCAAAGAAGGCUAAUGGCAUCCUGGGCAAAGCACAGCCAGCACUUGAGGGAAGAGAUCCUUCCCCUUGGCCAAUCCCCCAGAUGAUUUCAGUGAGGCUUUAGUGCAUAGUUCUGAUGAGAAGAAAGAUGGGAACACCAGACUCCACACAGAAUUAGGUGAAAUAUUUUUGAACACUUAUGGAUGGUAAAAUAGGUGAUACCCUGGAGGAUUUGGCAGCUCAUUGUGACCUCUGGCACACAAUGUUAAAAAUAAGCAUAAGUAAAUAUAAGAAAACUUCAAAGAUGGCGGAGGAUGGUAUUUUUCAUAGCAGAUAAUUUAGAGGUAAAUUUGGGGCUGUAUGCCUGUCUGAUCCGAGGCUUUGUAGCAGUACUCUGUGGUGGGUUGCCGGCUUCUUCUAGGUCUGUUAAUACUGAUACGUCAGAAAGGGGUAGGUUUGACAUAUUCAACUACUGUCUGCAUAAUUUUAUUGCAAGCCCUUUGGAAAUCAGUAGGAUGCCCAUUGACUCAGCACAGAACACUAAAGGCAGUACUUUACUAGUACUAGCCCUAGUGGAAGGGCUAGUCCAUGUGGCAUGGAUAACAUUUACAAAAAAUUAGCUGAUAUAUUUGUAGAUUGGCAGUGCAUGGAGUUGAAAGCUAACAACAUGAACUGGAAUUAAAAAAAUAAUAAUAAUUUGGGUUAGGAGGAAGUGGGCAUAUACUUUUGCUAACAAGGUAAUGUAACAUUGCAUGGAGCACAACCCUCCAUAAGCUUACACUACCAGAAUUUCAUGUUUCCCAUUAAAUAAUGUUUGGAUUUUUUAAGGCUUUUUUUCUUUUAAGCAGUUUCGAUGUUAUUCCUAUGCUACUGCAUGGACUGAACAAAUCACUGCAGGAACUGACUUGAUGUUGCUUAGUAUUUUCAGGUUUGAGGUUUCUACUCAGUCUUCCUGUUCUGGGCUAGCUGUGGUUUAAAAACCUUUUUAUGCUAAGCAGUGCCAGUGCCAUUAAUUUGAGGGGAGGUAUUGAUGCAAGAAUAUAAAUUAUUAAACAAAGAAAUUACUUGCAACAUUGAAAGUCUAAAUUCCCCUGAGAGGGAGCACUGAACCAGACUGAUGAAUACCUAGAGAUGAUUAAUGAUUAGAAAUGAACUCUUCAGUCAUCAGUCAUGUGGGGAGGGUUUUGUGAGUGAAGUCCCUGUAGCAUAUCCUUGAAAUUGCUUAGAAUGCUGCUCUUCCAGUCAAACGUGGGUGUAGACUCAAGCGUGGCAAUCCUCAUGCCUUCUUUAAAUGAUGAAGUAGAAAAUAAAGGAAUUUGUUGCUCAGGGACACGACCAUACUCAGCAGGAGAAUCAUCUCUUCCUUGUUUUCCAUAUUUUGCAGAGGUGCAAGUGGUGCUGGCCUAUUAGCUAACACAGUAAUUACGAGGCUGCCAGCGCAGACUGAUGUAACAGAAGUUUUGCAGAGGUAGAAAUAAAUGAAUAUCCCAAGUCUGCUAUAAUGUGAUGUUUCUAUACUGCUGCUUGUGGAGCUCUAAUUUGCUAAAAGGAGAUAAUACAAUGAGUUUACAUAUUCUCAUAACAGAGUUUCUGACACUAAAAUAUAUUAAAUUGGUUUAUGUUUUUACAUGUGCCUUUUCUGCCUCCAAUACUCCUUGUGUUUUGUUUUAUUUUUAUUUUUUUUUAUUCUGUUCACAGGCAUACAUUAUUUUUCUUCCUCCUUUCUAGCCCAUGUACCUGUUAUGAUUUCCCUGGAAUCUAUGGAAAACCAAUCAGCAUUCACAUUCACCCCUACACCAGUUUGUUACAAAGUGUGUUGAUGAGGAAUGGCUGAUGAAUUCCCAGCAACAGAUGUUCUGUCCAACUGCUAACAGUUAAAUGAGAACCAUGCAAAAGUAUACUGCUCAGUCAUCAUCAUGUUCUAACAACAUCUGGUUCAUUUGCAGGUGCCCUCUGCUUCAGUAACAUUAUAUUAAACUCCAUGCAUCAUAUUAUAAAGGUAACUGAUGUUUUUUGUGUCAGGCUGUGGGGGAAAAUAGCUGCUUUUGUCAGUAAAUGAGUCUACUGCUAACUGUUGAAAUAAAAUGACUGGAAAUAAAUGAGUUUAUAAGCUGUUGUUUAGAUUCCCAACUUCCAGGUAAGCCAGAAAUUUAAGUGGCUGUUUUCUGUCUAACAGAAGUUUUUCCUACACAUUUUUUUAAUGUUAGUUGUAUGUUCUUACUUCUGAUAAUAUUAUUACUUCUGGAAAUACAGUCACAAGUUGUUAAUCUCCUCCUGAUUGCGAAGUUUCAUAGUCCAGAGAUUCACAAAGUUAGGUUUUUGGAAGACUAAAUAAUUGGUAGAAUGUCAAGCUGGGACAAAAUUUAUCUGCAGUAUAGUAGUUGGUAGAGUGAAAUGAUGUUGCCUUGUCAGUAUUAGAGUAUUACAAAUGGGAAAACUCAGCAUUGCUGUUAAAUUCAUGCUUGACUGGGAUGUGUACAGGUUAUUCCCAUUGCUGAUAAUCUGAGUCAAUUUUUAUUCCAAAUUUCAUGAUGUGGAGUGGAGAACUGACUGAAGAUUUCCAGGUCAGCCAUGUUGUUAAUACAGUGUCUUCUCAAACUUCAAUAUUGCUAACCAGGUUAUUUGUACUUAGCUCCAUAGGUCCUACAGCUGAUGCUCUCUCUUUUGCAUCAUUGAAGAAUGGAGCUACCUUGCUACCACUGAAGUGGUUGGUACCUUGGACCUAGGCAGUGUGGUAUCUUCUUGGCCCUCCAAAUCAGUGGGGAAAGCAGAGGGAGUUGCAGGACUCUGGAACUGUAGCUGUGGAGCUCUCUGGAUUUAACGGGAUAUGCAUUCUUACCUGUGUGGAAGGAAAGGCUGCUGGAAGGUCUGAUAGAAGACAUUAUAGCCUUAUCAAUCAGCAGUUUCUGUUGAGAACAGCCACAAAUAAAGCAACCCUGUUGCAGAAAAUCUACAAAAGCUUUGUGACCCUAAGCCGUCUUUUCUUUGAGACAUGAAAAAAUCUAAAAUGAAUUCUGCUUCUGCAUACAAGAGGCCAAGUUAAAUCUUUAAUCAAACAUAUGUGGCUCAUCCAGAGUCAUUUUUACUCUUUUAUGCAUUCUCGUACUUACCAUGAUUUAAAGACUUUUUCCAGAGAUACAGAGAUCCAGAUCCAGAGAUUUGAUGGGAACACAGUGAAAUUCAGUUCUUACUUGCUCAUCUGAGGACUCACUCUGCUUUAAUUUGAUUUGUCAGUGAAUCUUCCAAAUUAGUAGAACACAGGGUACCUGUAUGAGGGGACAUACAUAUUCAUGCUGCUGAAGUAGAAUUUCAGUUGUCUGGUAUUUGGGGGCUUAUGGUGAUACUAUUUUUGUUUCUUUCAAAGCAUUUAUUCGAAUAUGUACAACUACUAAGGGUAUCACAGUUUAUCAGCUAAGCACUGCUACAAUAAUCCAAAUGAAAUAUUGGGUUGGAAGUCUAAUUUUAUAAUUGGUUACAUAGAUGAAAUUACACAGAUAAAGUUUCCAUCAACUGCAAUGGGAGCUGCAUAUAUGAGAGUGGAUCUCAACCAGUUCCAUCUUGGGAGCUGUGAAUACUGCUUGGAAAUAUGAGCCAUAAUGCCCUCCUUGGCUGGCAUAAAUCUGGUGUAAAUAUGAGCGGCACUUGGUCAGCAUGCUGGUCACUUUUGACCCAGACAUCUCCUUGAUCAUUUGGUAACCACAGAAGAAAUUCUCUGUCUGCCGCUGUUCCUCAUUAUGUGUCUAAAGACUUUUUGUUGAUGCAAUUAGUCCAGUCUAUUGUGGUGUGGUGUGGUUAGAGCUCUGACUGAUGGUUGUUCUUCAGUUCAAACACCAAAUAUAAGAAGCUUCUAUGUAAUUAAGUCUUUUAGCUCUGCAGUGAAUACCAAGACUGUGGAACGGUACUUGACAUUUAUGGCUCCUCUACAGAAGCAUACAUGAG